UCAAAAACGUCUUUGUUUUAAAAGUUUUAUCAAAUUUUAAAGAAAAGUGAUUACUUCCAAAAGUGAACAGUGAGUUAUUUUUAUAUUUUCUUCCAAGUUAGUUAAAUUAUGUAGAUUUGUGACUAUGUUCAGUGAAUUUAAAAUGAGAAAAAAGAGAGACUUAACAAGAUGAAAAAGGGGUGACAAAUUGAGUGCACACGCCCCUGGGAGGAGUUGACGUCAUUGGCGCAUGCGCACGGUCAGAAAACGGCACUGCAGAAGCAGGCGAGUUCGCGAGUGUAUCGAUUUUACGAUCGUGUCUCGCGGUUAGUGCGUUCGUUUCCUUUAGUUUUUAGUGACCGUGUUCGUGGUACAUGGAUAAAAAUUGUGAAUGGGAUUAAUCAUUAAGUGCUCCGCUUCGUACACCUGCUGAUUCGCAACUCCUCCAGCUCAUCAUGACCAAGGAUAGAUUAGCAGCCCUCGUCGCGGCUCAGUCCGACGAGGACGAUGUGGCCGACGAUGUCUCGGUCCCCGUGGGAGGGCCCGAAGAUUUCAUGACGGAAUUUUUCGCCGAGGUGGAGGAGAUACGUGAAAUGAUCGAUAAGAUCCAGACAAAUGUGGAGGAAGUGAAGAAGAAGCAUAGCGCCAUUUUAUCAGCACCCCAGACAGAUGAAAAGGUCAAAAUGGAACUGGAAGAUCUGAUGGCUGACAUUAAGAAAACAGCGAAUAAAGUUAGGGCAAAGUUAAAAGUAAUAGAGCAAAACAUCGAGCAAGAGGAGCACACGAACAAAUCGUCGGCAGAUCUUAGGAUACGCAAGACACAACACUCGACGUUGUCUAGGAAAUUCGUCGAGGUGAUGACAGAGUACAAUCGGACGCAGACUGAUUAUAGGGAGCGGUGUAAGGGGAGAAUACAACGACAACUUGAAAUUACGGGUAGGACGACCACUAAUGAAGAACUCGAGGAAAUGCUGGAACAAGGAAAUCCAGCUGUGUUCACGCAAGGGAUUAUUAUGGAAACGCAACAAGCGAAACAAACCCUUGCAGAUAUUGAGGCGCGUCACGCUGACAUCAUUAAAUUAGAAAAUUCCAUCAGGGAACUUCACGACAUGUUCAUGGACAUGGCAAUGCUCGUCGAAAGUCAGGGUGAGAUGAUAGAUCGCAUAGAAUAUCACGUGGAACACGCAGUGGAUUACGUUCAAACGGCCACACAGGACACCAAAAAAGCACUCAAGUAUCAAAGCAAAGCCCGACGGAAAAUGAUCAUGAUUAUGAUCUGCGUCGCAGUAUCUCUGGUCAUAUUGAUCUCCAUUGUAGGAGCGUUUCUUCCGUCAUUCUAAAUGGCCGUAGACAUAGAGAGACAGGGAGAGAAAAAAAUAAGAGAGAGAGAGAGAGAGAGAGAGCAAUAGAUAGAUAGACAAAUAGUUAGAUAGCUAGACAUGAGGGGAGAACAGAAAAAUAAAAAAUAAAAAAAAUUACUUAUACAUAUACAAAAUAUAAAUAAUAAAAAAAUAUUACACUCCGACAAAAAAAAAAAAAAAAAAAAAACAACUCAGAAAGUAGCAAAUAUCGUUGCAGCGAACAAAAAAAAAUGAGAAAGCACUUCUGAUUGGUGAUACAAAACAAAAAUCCGGAGGAUGACGAAAAAGGAAAUAAAUUACACACUUUUUUCUAAAAACAAAAAAAAAGAAAAACAAUAAAUAGCGAAAAAAUGGAUGUGACGACGACUCUUCUCGUAUAAAAAAAAAAAAAAAUUGAGCGCGAAACGAGUCGACGCGUGGACUGAACCGUCACAAAAUUCUUGUACAGGACAUGAAAAAAAAAUAACAAGACUUUUUUAUAGUUAUGCCAACAAUAAUUGCAUAUUAUUAAUCCAACGAUAACACCAGCUUAGCACCGAACAAAAAAAAAAUUAAUCCAAAAGCAAUACUAACCACUCAUCGUGAUUUAUCGAAAAAUAAAUAUAUUUUCGCACUUUGUCCCUCUCAGCUAAAUUGAUCCUGAUCGUUGUCUGCCUGACAGUGGCGGUCAUCAUUUUGAUAAUCAUUUUGGUAACUAAUUUGAGCUGAUCUCGUGGAUGGCCAUCGACUCGAUCCGAGACCAGUGACACAAGUGCACCUUUCCUGAGCACAAAUUCAUUCAUCUCCCGAUUUCAGUUCGUCCUUGACAUCAUCCCAGAGGCUCCACAAUUAUUAUUAUUAAUCACCAAAAAAAAAAACACUCUCCUGGACGUGUUCAAUGAGAUAUUCGAAAAAUCCAUUCCACGUCUUACGUUCUCCCCCAACAAAAAAAUCAGCGAUCGUCGUUAUAUUUUAAACAAAAUUUUCUUCUUGUAAAUAAUGUUCUGCAUUAUGUCCAAUAAUGAAAAAUGUCAAAAAAAAAAAUUCGCAUCCCAAUCGAGAAAAUGUCUCUCUCAAAUGCUACUAGAGAAAAAAGAAAUCAAUUUUUCCUAAAAUUCUUAAAAAUAUUCAAUGUUUCUGUUUGUAAAUUAAUUAAAUUAAUUAAAUUAAUUAUUAAAUUAAU